CAAAAUUAAACCUAAUAGUUUACUGCUUUAACACCUUCCGAGCGUGAAGACAGUUGGGAUGAAGCUCAGAGAUACCACUGUUCCUGCUUGGAUUCCAGGUCCUUGUCAUACAGUCAGUAAAGAGUUGUUAAGCAAUCAGCCACAAUCCUGUGAUUGUACUGACCUGGUUGCUUGAUGAGUUUUAAAAAUACAACUUGUUUACCAAGAUGAUACCAGA